rnacentral:rRNA from 1 species
GAUGAACGCUGGCGGCGUGCCUAAUACAUGCAAGUCGGGCGAACAGACGAGUUGCUUGCUCCGCUGACGUUAGCGGCGGACAGGUGCGUAACACGUGGAUAACCUCCCUAUAAGACUGGGAUAACUUCGGGAAACCGGAGCUAGUACCGGAUAAUAUAUUGAACCGCAUGGUUCAAUAGUGAAAGACGGUUUUGCUGUCACUUAUAGAUGGAUCCGCGCCGCAUUAGCUAGUUGGUAAGGUAACGGCUUACCAAGGCAACGAUGCGUAGCCUACCUGAGAGAGUAAUCGGCGACACUGGAACUGAGACACGGUCCAGACUCCUACGGGAGGCAGCAGUAGGGAAUCUUGCGCGAUGGGCGAAGGCCUGACGGAGCAACGCGGCGUGAGUGAUGAAGGUCUUCGGAUCGGAAAACACUGUGAUUAGGGAAGAAGAAAUGCGUAAGUAACUAUGCACGUAUUGACGGUACCUAAGCAGAAAGCCACGGCUAACUACGUG